UCCCUGCUAAUAACCCUAAUUCCCAAAUGAUCUAAAUAAACUUUCAAACUUCAGGUCAUAAAUACUAAAUUUUCAUUUUUCAUCAGAUCAUUUACCAAAACCCUGAGCAUAAAUAUAGAAGAAAAACAAGAAGAAGCAGUAAAUCAUUCAAGCUUUCCUGUUCCAGAGGACAUUCUUUUGAGAUUACCAUUUAAAUCUAUCUCACUAUGACUCCGAGUUUUGGAAUAGGGAACCUUCAAGUUCAGGUGGCAAGUGCAUAGCUGGAGCGAUUUCACUUGAUUUAUCUAAACUGUGAGUGAGGUUUUUCGAGAUCAUGGUGCUUAUAAACCAGGAUCCUGGAGAAUCGCAAGGGAAGGAUAGAAUUAGUGAAUUGCCCGAUUCCCUUAUUAAUCUCAUUCUCAGUUUUCUUCCGACCAAAUGCGUCAUUUCCACAAGUGUUUUAUCUAAAAGAUGGAGGUACAUUUGGACCUCAGUACCUGUACUUGAAUUGGAAUUUCCAAGGACUCCUGAACUAAAAGAGUACACAACCAGGGAGGCUGAAAGAGUCCGGGAAUUAUAUUCAUCGCAGCAUCAGAGGUUUAUGAAUUUUGUUGAUAAUAAGCUUUCUCUUCACCAUGAGACACGAGAUAUAAAGAAAUUUUAUCUCGACUGUCGUUAUCAUUUUUAUCAUCAAAAAUCUCGGGUUGAAGAAUGGCUAUCUUCUUUACUAGCAUAGUCUGGAAGAGUUUGUUUUCUACGCAGAAUGUUCGCCGGAUAUAGGCUUCUUUCCUUCAAGUGGGACAUUUGCAUCACUUGUUACUUUAGAGGUAGAUACAUUGAGUCCAGUUUAUCUUCCUGAUGCAAUAAAUUUUCCAACGCUCAAGAUUUGUUGGCUUAGGAAUGCCGACUUGUAUAUGCAUUCUACAGAUCUGACUCGACAAUUCUUUUCUAACCUCCCUGUUCUUGAAGAAUUGGAGUUGACGGACUGUCAGUGGAACUGGUUCAUAUCGGAGCAAUUAUCAAUUUCAGCUCCUGCUUUGAAAUAUCUGUCCAUUACUGGUCCUAAUGAUGACCAAUGUUACAAUGAAGACUUUCCCUCUUAUGAAUUUAUUUUUAACAUUUUUGCACCAAAUCUACAGUCCCUCAGGGGGAAGAUUUAGUUGCAACUGAAGUUCUUGAAAAACUUUCCAAUGUAAAGCUUUUAAAGAUAUCUGGCGAGACCUUUGAGGCUCUCGCAUUCCUGAACCAUCUGUUGACAAAUUGGCCCAUGUUCCAUAACUUGGUCCAUUUGGAGUUCAUUUCGGAGGUCUCUUUUAAUAAUAAGAAUAAAACGAUGUUAAACUUUCUCAGAAUCUCACCUAAUCUAGAAACAAUUGUUAUUGCUUCGGGCUUUCUUGGAGACCUAUCCAGCACUGAUUGUGGUUGGACACCAGGUAUGGUGCCUCAGUGUAUGUUGUUGCACCUCAAGUUAGUCAAGCUGUUAGAGUUUGCUGGGUUCUUAGAAGAGCUCAAUACUGUAAAGUCAUUUUUGAAGAAUGCUAGAGUCCUGCGGAGGAUGAUCAUCAAAUUCUUUUCAAAUUUAUCAGCAGUUCAGCAGAAUAAAAUAAUGAAGCAGUUGAUAAAAAUUCCAAGAGGCCGCAGUAACUGUAUUAUGGAGGUCUUAUAAUAUACAGCUUCAGUUUGUUCAAACUUUGGCUGGUUUAGUGCCAAUCAAUGCUUUAGCUAUAUGUACUGAUUCAUAUAUCUUGGACGUUAGAUUUAUGUAACUGAGAUCGUCGCAUCGGUUAAUAUUUCCUUACUUUUUGAUUAGGUGGCUCAA